rnacentral:tRNA from 1 species
GGGGGUUUAGCUCAGUUGGGAGAGCACCUGCCUUGCAAGCAGGGGGUCGAGAGUUCGAAUCUCUUAAUCUCCA